GAGAUAUUAGUAAAAUUAUUAUAAAGCCUUGUCAGGGCUAUGUUACUAGUUAGACCCUUGUAUAUCUCC
rnacentral:tRNA from 1 species